rnacentral:rRNA from 1 species
UACGGAGGGUGCGAGUGUUGUCCGGAAUCACUGGGCGUAAAGGGCGCGUAGGCGGCGCGGAUAGUCGGCGGUGAAAGCCCGGAGCUCAACUCCGGGUCGGCCGUCGAUACUUCCGGGCUUGAGCACUGUAGAGGCAGAUGGAAUUCCGGGUGUAGCGGUGGAAUGCGUAGAGAUCCGGAAGAACACCGGUGGCGAAGGCGGUCUGCUGGGCAGUUGCUGACGCUGAUGCGCGACAGCGUGGGGAGCAAACGAGGAUU